rnacentral:lncRNA from 1 species
GUCUUUUGUUACUGAGGUUACUGUUUAGCUUCCUGGGUUAUCACUAGAGAUAGCAGACUGGCUUCCUGCAAGUCUGGCUUUAGCAGGCUGUCUUCCUGGGCUGUUUAUUAAAAAUGAGGGGCUUGGUUUCCUAGGCAGGCUGCUACAGAUUUAGGGUGAUAGUUCUAUUCUUAUUAUAUGGUCCAGUCAUUGUGCAUUUGUACAUUCAGUCUUUGAUUUGUUUAUUUUGUGAUUUUAUUUUAAAUAGACCUUUCCUUCCUUUCUUGCAGAAGACAGCUGGCUGGCCUCCUUCACUUUCAUAUUAAGCCUCUGUCUUUGCUGAUCAUAAACCCAUACCUGAGGAUGAGUGGCAGGAAACUCAAUGCUCGCCUUACCUGGGAGCAAGCCCUCUGCCCUCCUGGGUUACCUCUUCUAGAGAUCUGGGGGUAAAAUCUGUGUCUGCAUUAUUGCCCUCCUGAAAGACUUAAUCCCAUCAGUCCUCAAAAUCUUUUUCACUGUUUCUGUUUUUCCCAGGGGCAGUGGCAUCCUCAUGCCAGCUGGUCUCCUAGUGGCUGCCCCUGUGACCUGCUUCUGAAUGGCCAGGCAGGAAAGGACUCCCACUGUGUUGCAUUUAAAGAAAAGAAAAAGAUGAAUUAAGUGAAAAGCUCUGCAAACAACUGAGUGUAAUUAUUGGGUAGGUACUCAUGAGUGAGCCAGCCUGCAUUUCUGAACUCACGUCGUGGGAAAAGCAACAAACACUUUUAAGACAAAAGAUAAAGGCUAAUGACAUGAGGAGUUUGAAAUGGCCAUGUGGCAGCCUCAGCUUCCAGUUCUUUGAAACCAUUGAAAUGAAAACUUGUCCUGGCCCCUGA